rnacentral:rRNA from 1 species
UACGGGGGGGGUAAGCGUUGUUCGGAAUUACUGGGCGUAAAGGGCUCGUAGGUGGCCAACUAAGUCAGACGUGAAAUCCCUCGGCUUAACCGGGGAACUGCGUCUGAUACUGGACGGCUUGAGUUUGGGAGAGGGACGCGGAAUUCCAGGUGUAGCGGUGAAAUGCGUAGAUAUCUGGAGGAACACCGGUGGCGAAGGCGGCGUCCUGGACCAACACUGACACUGAGGAGCGAAAGCCAGGGGAGCAAACGGG